AAUAUAAAAAUUGAAAUUUAUGGAACAUACAUAACACACCCAGGAGGGUGAAUACGAAUAAGUAAAUAAAUGAAUUUUAAAAAAGUGUAUAAAAAGAGCUCUUUGUCAUGCUUAUUAAGUCCUUUCAUGUCAAAUAAAUACGUAAAUUUUCGGUGGUAAGAUUGCGAAUCUAGUCGUAUUAAAUAUAACAGUGGAUCGCACCCAGUGACCGCGGAAGCUUGAGAGGGACAAUGUCCCCACGGUUGUUCGAUGUCGGCAUCAUCUCCCAUCUUAUAUAAACCCGGCCCUUCCCUGUUAAUGUCCCCACGGCUUCCGCGGCCACUGAUGUAAUUGUUGCGAGGUCAUUCAUGUCGUUCUCUCGGAAGUCAAAUAUUUGUACGAAAUGUGAUAAGGUGAAUCAGAAAAGAAAUGAGUAUGGCUCAUUAAUCCCGGCAGUUGUGCUGGGCUGGUUCAUUGUCAUGAAGAGUGUAAUAAUCGCACAUAAAAAAACUGUACAGCGUCUCACUUGGCAAUAAUUGUAUGUAUGUGACAUAAAAUGCAAAUGUUUUGAAAACUGCCCAAUAAGUUGGACCAGACGGUGCAUACAAACUUCAUAAUUUUCAUACAGGGUACUAGCAGCAUUUCAUAGGUUUUUACUGUUAUGGGGAAAAUAACUGGUAAGCAAAAGCAAGAUCGGCUUGUUUCUUCUUUAAGUAAAACUUGCUGCAUUGACCUGAUCAAGUUCCGUGCAUGUGAUUUAAGAAGGAAGAAAUCUUGAGUCGGAUUAUAUCUACAGGCUUUUAUUUUUAUUAGGAAUUGUCACUAGCUAAUAAGUUGGGUCUAGUAUUAAUUAGGACGCGCUAUUUUUCUACUAUUUUUUUUUAAUCUAGGAAAAGUUCAGAUUAUUUAACGGAAAGUUCAAAAUUCAGUUUUUUUCAAUUGGGAAUAAUACUGCAUGGCAUUCAAAUGCAAAGAAACCAAGAGGGUUCAAUAGGGGUUCAAAUAUGUAGAAUAAAAUUUUGGGAAAUCAAUGAAGGAAUUGCACCAAAACUCACGGACUAACCGCAUCAACUGUAUACAUACGCAGAAUGAUGGAAGACGAGACGAUGUGCUGUCCGCUGUGAGCUAUGUGGACCUAUGUACAUACGUAGUCCAGAUAGGAAAAGAAGGACACGUUCAUUAAGACACAAUUUGGUCAAGUUCAGGGUGAACCCGUUACAAUUGUGGUGAUCCGUCCAAACCACGCUAUUUACGAUUCUAUUAAUACGAUAUGUAUCUAUGCACCCUGUCAAUUUUUUGGUGUCUGAAGCCCUAAUUUUUACUUAUUUUUGACUGAAUUAUAUAAAAUAAGUCAGUACAAAACGUAUCAAAAAUUUGAAACAGGAUUGCAAAUCAAGAUCGAAAACCUUACCUUAUUUGGAACCUUUUAUCCGUUUUUUUUCAACACUUUGAGGCCCACCAAGUCGAAGAGGUUGAUGAACAAAAUGCCGUCGUGUAAAAAUUAGCCCAGCUUUUAAAGACUUUGUCUAAUGUGGAGCUUUUUGCUCAUUAACCUGGAAUAGGUGAGAACGCUGGCUGGCACAUUUUCCUUGCCAUUCGCUCUUUGUGUACUCGACGCCAGUUUGAAAUCCUAAUGAUGAUUUUAACAACUUUUUUUCUUUUUACUCAGCUACAAACCUUUGCUUUCAAUUCUAUUUAUGCAAAUAUUUUCAUACAUUUCUCUCAACUCGGACGCAUUAUAAUUGUCCUCAGCCAAUAAUGAUCAUUUAGUCCCCUACAUUUUUCGCGAUAAUGCAAGUGAUACAAAUUUAUGUGUGUGUAGCAUCCAAAUAAAAAUUUCGAAUUAAGUAAACGCC